rnacentral:rRNA from 1 species
GAUGAACGCUAGCGGCAGGCCUAACACAUGCAAGUCGAGGGGCAGCACGUCUUCGGAUGGUGGCGACCGGCGCACGGGUGCGUAACGCGUAUGCAACCUACCUCUUACAGUGGGAUAGCCCAGAGAAAUUUGGAUUAAUACCGCAUAGUAUACAGAUUCAGCAUUGGGACUGUAUUAAACAUUUAUGGGUAAGAGAUGGGCAUGCGUUCUAUUAGUUAGUUGGAGUGGUAACGGCACCCCAAGACAGCGAUAGAUAGGGGCCCUGAGAGGGGGAUCCCCCACACUGGUACUGAGACACGGACCAGACUCCUACGGGAGCGAGCGAGUGAGGAAGUAAUUGGACGAAUAGGGC